rnacentral:rRNA from 1 species
GAUGAACGCUAGCUACAGGCUUAACACAUGCGAGUCGAGGGGAAACGACAUCGAAAGCUUGCUUUUGAUGGGCGUCGACCGGCGCACGGGUGAGUAACGCGCAUCCAACCUGCCCACCACUUGGGGAUAACCUUGCGAAAGUAAGACUAAUACCCAAUGACGUCUCUAGAAGACAUCUGAAAGAGAUUAAAGAUUUAUCGGUGAUGGAUGGGGAUGCGUCUGAUUAGCUUGUUGGCGGGGUAACGGCCCACCAAGGCGUCGAUCAGUAGGGGUUCUGAGAGGAAGGUCCCCCACAUUGGAACUGGGACACGGUCCAAACUCCUACGGGAGGCAGCAGUGAGGAAUAUUGGUCAAUGGGCGAGAGCCUGAACCAGCCAAGUAGCGUGCAGGAUGACGGCCCUAUGGGUUGUAAACUGCUUUUAUAAGGGAAUAAAGUGAGUCUCGUGAGACUUUUUGCAUGUACCUUAUGAAUAAGGACCGGCUAAUUCCGUGCCAGCCGCCGCAGUAA